CCGCCCAAAGCAACAUUAAAAAAAGAGAGACACAGACUUUGAUAUAUAAGACAGUGCUGUAUAUGUUUAAAGUUGUUCAGGUGACACUAUAGUCACCUGAACAACUUUAUCUUAAUGAAGCAGUUUUGGUGUAUAGAACAUGCCCCUGCAGUCUCACUGCUCAAUCCUCUGCCAUUUAGGAGGUAAAUCCCUUUGUUUAUGAACCCUAGUCACACCUCCCUGCAUGUGACUUGCACAGCCUUCCAUAAACACUUCCUGUAAAGAGAGCCCUAUUUAGGUUUUCUUUAUUGCAAGUUCUGUUUAAUUAAGAUUUUCUUAUCCCCUGCUAUGUUAAUAGCUUGCUAGACCCUGCAAGAGCCUCCUGUAAGUGAUUAAAGUUCAAUUUAGAGAUUGAGAUACAAUUAUUUAAGGUAAAUUACAUCUGAUUGAAAGUGAAACCAGUUUUUUCUUCAUCCAG